rnacentral:rRNA from 1 species
CCUACGGGUGGCAGCAGUGAGGAAUAUUGGUCAAUGGGCGUAAGCCUGAACCAGCCAAGUCGCGUGAGGGAUGAAGGUUCUAUGGAUCGUAAACCUCUUUUCUGAGGGAAUAAAGUGUGGGGCGUGUCCUAUUUUGUAUGUACCUUAUGAAUAAGGAUCGGCUAACUCCGUGCCAGCAGCCGCGGUAAUACGGAGGAUCCGAGCGUGAUCCGGAUUUAUUGGGUUUAAGGGGUGCGUAGGCGGCCUUUUAAGUCAGCGGUGAAAGGCUGUGGCUCAACCAUAGAAUUGCCGUUGAAACUGGUAGGCUUGAGUAUGUUUGAGGCAGGCGGAAUGCGUGGUGUAGCGGUGAAAUGCUUAGAUAUCACGCAGAACCCCGAUUGCGAAGGCAGCCUGCCAAGCCAUGACUGACGCUGAUGCACGAAAGCGUGGGGAUCAAACAGGAUUAGAUACCCGGGUAGUC